rnacentral:rRNA from 1 species
CCUACGGGAGGCAGCAGUGAGGAAUAUUGGUCAAUGGCCGUAAGGCUGAACCAGCCAAGUCGCGUGAAGGAAGAAGGAUCUAUGGUUUGUAAACUUCUUUUAUAGGGGAAUAAAGGUAUCCACGUGUGGAUAUUUGCAUGUACCCUAUGAAUAAGCAUCGGCUAACUCCGUGCCAGCAGCCGCGGUAAUACGGAGGAUGCGAGCGUUAUCCGGAUUUAGUGGGUUUAAAGGGUGCGUAGGUGGUUUUUUAAGUCAGCUGGGAAAUUUUGUGGCUCAACCAUAAAAUUGCCGUUGAAACUGGAAGUCUUGAGUGUGGUUGAGGUAGGCGGAAUGCGUGGUGUAGCGGUAAAAUGCAUAGAGAUCACGAAGAAUUCCGAUUGCGAAGGCAGCUUACUAGGCCAUGACUGACACUGAAGCGCGAAAGCGUGGGGAUCAAACAGGAUUAGAUACCCGAGUAGUC